GGCCAGGUAGCUCAGUUGGUAGAGCAAAGGACUGAAAAUCCUUGUGUCGGCGGUUCGAUCCCGUCCCUGGCCACCA
rnacentral:tRNA from 1 species